GAUUUCCGAAUGGGGAAACCCAGUGUGUUUCGACACACUAUCAUUAACUGAAUCCAUAGGUUAAUGAGGCGAACCGGGGGAACUGAAACAUCUAAGUACCCCGAGGAAAAGAAAUCAACCGAGAUUCCCCCAGUAGCGGCGAGCGAACGGGGAGCAGCCCAGAGCCUGAAUCAGUGUGUGUGUUAGUGGAAGCGUCUGGAAAGGCGCGCGAUACAGGGUGACAGCCCCGUACACAAAAAUGCACAUGCUGUGAGCUCGAUGAGUAGGGCGGGACACGUGGUAUCCUGUCUGAAUAUGGGGGGACCAUCCUCCAAGGCUAAAUACUCCUGACUGACCGAUAGUGAACCAGUACCGUGAGGGAAAGGCGAAAAGAACCCCGGCGAGGGGAGUGAAAAAGAACCUGAAACCGUGUACGUACAAGCAGUGGGAGCACGCUUAGGCGUGUGACUGCGUACCUUUUGUAUAAUGGGUCAGCGACUUAUAUUCUGUAGCAAGGUUAACCGAAUAGGGGAGCCGAAGGGAAACCGAGUCUUAACUGGGCGUUAAGUUGCAGGGUAUAGACCCGAAACCCGGUGAUCUAGCCAUGGGCAGGUUGAAGGUUGGGUAACACUAACUGGAGGACCGAACCGACUAAUGUUGAAAAAUUAGCGGAUGACUUGUGGCUGGGGGUGAAAGGCCAAUCAAACCGGGAGAUAGCUGGUUCUCCCCGAAAGCUAUUUAGGUAGCGCCUCGUGAAUUCAUCUCCGGGGGUAGAGCACUGUUUCGGCAAGGGGGUCAUCCCGACUUACCAACCCGAUGCAAACUGCGAAUACCGGAGAAUGUUAUCACGGGAGACACACGGCGGGUGCUAACGUCCGUCGUGAAGAGGGAAACAACCCAGACCGCCAGCUAAGGUCCCAAAGUCAUGGUUAAGUGGGAAACGAUGUGGGAAGGCCCAGACAGCCAGGAUGUUGGCUUAGAAGCAGCCAUCAUUUAAAGAAAGCGUAAUAGCUCACUGGUCGAGUCGGCCUGCGCGGAAGAUGUAACGGGGCUAAACCAUGCACCGAAGCUGCGGCAGCGACGCUGAUGCGUUGUUGGGUAGGGGAGCGUUCUGUAAGCCUGCGAAGGUGUGCUGUGAGGCAUGCUGGAGGUAUCAGAAGUGCGAAUGCUGACAUAAGUAACGAUAAAGCGGGUGAAAAGCCCGCUCGCCGGAAGACCAAGGGUUCCUGUCCAACGUUAAUCGGGGCAGGGUGAGUCGACCCCUAAGGCGAGGCCGAAAGGCGUAGUCGAUGGGAAACAGGUUAAUAUUCCUGUACUUGGUGUUACUGCGAAGGGGGGACGGAGAAGGCUAUGUUGGCCGGGCGACGGUUGUCCCGGUUUAAGCGUGUAGGCUGGUUUUCCAGGCAAAUCCGGAAAAUCAAGGCUGAGGCGUGAUGACGAGGCACUACGGUGCUGAAGCAACAAAUGCCCUGCUUCCAGGAAAAGCCUCUAAGCAUCAGGUAACAUCAAAUCGUACCCCAAACCGACACAGGUGGUCAGGUAGAGAAUACCAAGGCGCUUGAGAGAACUCGGGUGAAGGAACUAGGCAAAAUGGUGCCGUAACUUCGGGAGAAGGCACGCUGAUAUGUAGGUGAAGUCCCUCGCGGAUGGAGCUGAAAUCAGUCGAAGAUACCAGCUGGCUGCAACUGUUUAUUAAAAACACAGCACUGUGCAAACACGAAAGUGGACGUAUACGGUGUGACGCCUGCCCGGUGCCGGAAGGUUAAUUGAUGGGGUUAGCGCAAGCGAAGCUCUUGAUCGAAGCCCCGGUAAACGGCGGCCGUAACUAUAACGGUCCUAAGGUAGCGAAAUUCCUUGUCGGGUAAGUUCCGACCUGCACGAAUGGCGUAAUGAUGGCCAGGCUGUCUCCACCCGAGACUCAGUGAAAUUGAACUCGCUGUGAAGAUGCAGUGUACCCGCGGCAAGACGGAAAGACCCCGUGAACCUUUACUAUAGCUUGACACUGAACAUUGAGCCUUGAUGUGUAGGAUAGGUGGGAGGCUUAGAAGUGUGGACGCCAGUCUGCAUGGAGCCGACCUUGAAAUACCACCCUUUAAUGUUUGAUGUUCUAACGUUGACCCGUAAUCCGGGUUGCGGACAGUGUCUGGUGGGUAGUUUGACUGGGGCGGUCUCCUCCUAAAGAGUAACGGAGGAGCACGAAGGUUGGCUAAUCCUGGUCGGACAUCAGGAGGUUAGUGCAAUGGCAUAAGCCAGCUUGACUGCGAGCGUGACGGCGCGAGCAGGUGCGAAAGCAGGUCAUAGUGAUCCGGUGGUUCUGAAUGGAAGGGCCAUCGCUCAACGGAUAAAAGGUACUCCGGGGAUAACAGGCUGAUACCGCCCAAGAGUUCAUAUCGACGGCGGUGUUUGGCACCUCGAUGUCGGCUCAUCACAUCCUGGGGCUGAAGUAGGUCCCAAGGGUAUGGCUGUUCGCCAUUUAAAGUGGUACGCGAGCUGGGUUUAGAACGUCGUGAGACAGUUCGGUCCCUAUCUGCCGUGGGCGCUGGAGAACUGAGGGGGGCUGCUCCUAGUACGAGAGGACCGGAGUGGACGCAUCACUGGUGUUCGGGUUGUCAUGCCAAUGGCACUGCCCGGUAGCUAAAUGCGGAAGAGAUAAGUGCUGAAAGCAUCUAAGCACGAAACUUGCCCCGAGAUGAGUUCUCCCUGACUCCUUGAGAGUCCUGAAGGAACGUUGAAGACGACGACGUUGAUAGGCCGGGUGUGUAAGCGCAGCGAUGCGUUGAGCUAACCGGUACUAAUGAACCGUGAGGCUUAACCUU
rnacentral:rRNA from 1 species